GUUGAUGUAGUUGAAAGACAACAGUGGUUUUUCGAAUCGCCAGUCUUGGUCAAAUUCCAAGUAUUAACC
rnacentral:tRNA from 1 species